GAUGAACGCUGGCGGCGUGCUUAACACAUGCAAGUCGAACGGAAAGGCCCAAGCUUGCUUGGGUACUCGAGUGGCGAACGGGUGAGUAACACGUGGGUGAUCUGCCCUGCACUUCGGGAUAAGCCUGGGAAACUGGGUCUAAUACCGGAUAGGACAACAUUUUGGAUGGUGUGGUGGAAAGUUUUUUGGUGUGGGAGGAGCUCGCGGCCGUUCAGCUUGUUGGUGGGGUAAUGGCGUACCAAGGCGUCGAGGGGGAGCCGGCCUGAGGGGGUGGAGGGACGCAGUGGGACUGUGCUACAGGCCGGAGUGCGGAGGGAGGCAGCAGGGGGGAAUAUUGCACAAUGGGAGCAAGCCUGAUGCAAGGAGGCCGCGUGGGGGUUGAGGGCCUUCGGGUUGUAAACACCUUUAGCUGGGGACGAAGCGUUAUGUGGAGGUACCUUGAGAAGAAACACCGGCUAACUACGGGC
rnacentral:rRNA from 1 species